rnacentral:lncRNA from 1 species
UGCUACAAUGGAGGGCUUCAGCCACCCAAGCCUGUUCAGGGCUGCUGUCACCAGGCUUAGGCUGACACCCUGGCUCUGGCAGAGAAUGGGCGGGGCAGGAGGGGAGGUUAAGAAGGUUCUGCCAGCCAUGCCCAGUCUCCGUCGACUGCAUAAAGCUUCUUUGAUUAAUGAGGCCAUGAAGAAGCUGCUUCAGGUUCUGGCCUUACCACCCAAUCUGGAAAGUGGCUGGUUAUAGGUG